UCUUGUUACUUUCCUCGUAUUCCAACGUUUGUCUCUCUCUCUCGUCACUCCAAUCAACUUCACCACCGUAUCUCUCUCACUUCGCCGCCAUAUCUCUCACGUUGCAGUCGUAUCACAACCUUGCGCCUCUCAUCUCGCCGCUGCAUCUCUCACCUCGCCGCCGUAUCUCUCCCUCUCGCAGAUUCUGGCAUCUUCGUCGCCGUAUCUCUCAUGAUUCAGUCAGGUAUAAGUGUUUGAUUUUGUUAUAUGUUUCUGAUAUAUAUGCCAAGUUGAUGAUUAUGUAUGCUAAAUGUGGGUGUUUGGAGAAAGACACAUAAAGUAUUUGAUGAAAUGCUUGUGAGGGAUUUGUUUACUUGGUCUGCUUGUGAGGGAUUUGUUUA